GUUUGGAGUAGCAAAGGUAACCUAUCUGUAUCUUCCAUCACAAUUUUCUCUUUUUUUGUAUCCUCUUUCUUGCUUUCAUUCAGAACUUUUAGCUCUUUCAUUGUUGUAUCAAUUUCUUCUAAAACAAUACCAGCCCUAUCCAUCUUCUUUAACUCCAUCUCAUAUUCUAGCUUUCUCUUCCCUCUCAAAAAAUCAUUUAUCAAAUCAUUCACCCAAGUAGGUGCCUCAGCAUCAAUUGA
rnacentral:misc_RNA from 1 species